rnacentral:rRNA from 1 species
AGGGCACCACCAGGAGUGGAGCCUGCGGCUUAAUUUGACUCAACACGGGAAAUCUCACCAGGCCCGGACACUGGAAGGAUUGACAGAUUGAGAGCUCUUUCUCGAUUCGGUGGGUGGUGGUGCAUGGCCGUUCUUAGUUGGUGGAGUGAUUUGUCUGGUUAAUUCCGAUAACGAACGAGACUCUGUCCUGCUAAAUAGUUCCCGCGUCCUUUGUUGCGCGGGAAAUUCUUCUUAGAGGGACUGGCGGCGUCUAGCCGCACGAGAUUGAGCAAUAACGGGUCUGUGAUGCCCUUAGAUGUUCUGGGCCGCACGCGCGCUACACUGAGGGGAUCAGCGUGUCUUCCCUUCCCGAGAGGGACGGGUAACCCGCCGAACCCCCUUCGUGGUAGGGAUCGGGGCUUGCAAUUAUUCCCCGUGAACCAGGAAUUCCCAGUAAGCGCAAGUCAUAAGCUUGCGUUGAUUACGUCCCUGCCCUUUGUACACACCGCCCGUCGCUACUACCGAUUGAACGUUUUAGUG